CUCAUCUGGAGCUCUGCAGGGUAAGUUCUCUUCACACCUCGUUUGCUUUAUAGACUUCAUUUGGAGAGAUUGAUGGAAGCUAGAAAGAUUCAGCCCAAACAUUUGCCUGCGCUCGUGAAGACAGAGCAUGCAUCUUGUUUUAUAUUCACCAACCAAACCCUGCUGCCUCUAGAUGUCAGACAGUGAGAGAAUAUGUGUGUUAUUUCCUCUGUGGUACUCGCAGACAUGUAACUGACCCACUUUUUUCACCCUGCAGGCUCUCUCCCUCACGCGGCGACGAGCUGCACGGCUCUUUGCACUCGCUGUUCCUUUUUCCUAUGCAUAUACCUCUUUCAGAUGUAACUUUAAAGAGGCAUAGGGCAUGGGAAAAUGGGGCUGCAGAGGUAUUCCACCAGGCAGACAAGCAUUUCAUCAGCACCUCUCCACAUGACGGCUGACCUCAAAGCACACACACACAGAGACACACAUGAGCGCACAUACGCACCUGUCUCCAGCCUGCCAUUGACUCAUUGUGAAAGGGAAGACUGCAAAAGCAAGACAGCAGGUAGUUUUUUUGUCACUGUGUUGUACUUUUGUGACAUACCGUAGCUACAGUUUCAUCAUAACUGCCUGUGAUCAUUGUGUGUGUGUAGACUGGGAGGACUUCAGCUUUACUGUGUUUGUAUUAAACAUCUGUUUGCAUCUGAAUAACUUGUUUUUGUUAUUUUUGAAUAAAGACUUUUUUACGCCUUA